rnacentral:snRNA from 1 species
CGGAAGAUGGUCAAGGUA